CAAUAAGCGGAGGAAAAGAAACCAACAGGGAUUGCCCCAGUAACGGCGAGUGAAGCGGCAACAGCUCAAAUUUGAAAUCUGGCUCCCUCGGGCGCCCGAGUUGUAAUUUGCAGAGGGUGCUUUGGCGUCGGCAGCGGCCUAAGUUCCUUGGAACAGGGCGUCAUAGAGGGUGAGAACCCCGUACGUGGCCGCCCGCCUUCGCCGUGUAAAGCCCCUUCGACGAGUCGAGUUGUUUGGGAAUGCAGCUCUAAAUGGGAGGUAAAUUCCUUCUAAAGCUAAAUACUGGCCAGAGACCGAUAGCGCACAAGUAGAGUGAUCGAAAGAUGAAAAGCACUUUGGAAAGAGAGUCAAACAGCACGUGAAAUUGUUGAAAGGGAAGCGCUUGCAGCCAGACUUGCCCGCGGUUGUUCUUCUUCCGCGGGCAGGCCAGCAUCAGUCUGGGCGGUCGGAUAAAGGUCUCGGGAAUGUAGCUCUCUCCGGGGAGUGUUAUAGCCCGGGGCGCCAUGCGGCCAGCCCGGACUGAGGUCCGCGCGUCUGCUAGGAUGCUGGCGUAAUGGCUGUAAGCGGCCCGUCUUGAAACACGGACCAAGGAGUCUAACAUCUAUGCGAGUGUUUGGGUGUCAAGCCCGGGCGCGCAAUGAAAGUGAACGGAGGUGGGAACCCCUCGGGGCGCACCAUCGACCGAUCCUGAUGUCUUCGGAUGGAUUUGAGUAAGAGCAUAGCUGUUGGGACCCGAAAGAUGGUGAACUAUGCCUGAAUAGGGUGAAGCCAGAGGAAACUCUGGUGGAGGCUCGCAGCGGUUCUGACGUGCAAAUCGAUCGUCAAAUUUGGGCAUAGGGGCGAAAGACUAAUCGAACUAUCUAGUAGCUGGUUCCUGCCGAAGUUUCCCUCAGGAUAGCAGUAACGUUUUCAGUUUUAUGAGGUAAAGCGAAUGAUUAGAGGCCUGGGGGUUGAAACAACCUUCACCUAUUCUCAAACUUUAAAUAUGUAAGAAGUCC
rnacentral:rRNA from 1 species